rnacentral:rRNA from 1 species
UGGGGAAUUUUGGACAAUGGGCGCAAGCCUGAUCCAGCCAUGCCGCGUGCAGGAAGAAGGCCUUCGGGUUGUAAACUGCUUUUGUCAGGGAAGAAAUCCUUUGGGUUAAUACCUCGAAGGGAUGACGGUACCUGAAGAAUAAGCACCGGCUAACUACGUGCCAGCAGCCGCGGUAAUACGUAGGGUGCGAGCGUUAAUCGGAAUUACUGGGCGUAAAGCGUGCGCAGGCGGCUUUGCAAGACAGAUGUGAAAUCCCCGGGCUCAACCUGGGAACUGCAUUUGUGACUGCAAGGCUAGAGUGCGGCAGAGGGAGAUGGAAUUCCGCGUGUAGCAGUGAAAUGCGUAGAUAUGCGGAGGAACACCGAUGGCGAAGGCAAUCUCCUGGGCCUGCACUGACGCUCAUGCACGAAAGCGUGGGGAGCAAACNGGAUUAAUACCCUGGUAGUCCACGCCCUAAANGAUGUCAACUGGUUGUUGGACGGCUUGCUGUUCAGUAACGAAGCUAACGCGUGAAGUUGACCGCCUGGGGAGUACGGCCGCAAGGUUGAAACUCAAAUGAAUUGAC